rnacentral:rRNA from 1 species
AUUGAACGCUGGCGGCAGGCUUAACACAUGCAAGUCGAGCGCACCGCAAGGGGAGCGGCAGACGGGUGAGUAACACGUGGGAACGUACCUUUUGCUACGGAAUAGCUCCGGGAAACUGGAAUUAAUACCGUAUGUGCCCUUCGGGGGAAAGAUUUAUCGGCAAAAGAUCGGCCCGCGUCUGAUUAGCUAGUUGGUGGGGUAAUGGCCUACCAAGGCGACGAUCAGUAGCUGGUCUGAGAGGAUGAUCAGCCACACUGGGACUGAGACACGGCCCAGACGCCUACGGGAGGCAGCAGUGGGGAAUAUUGGACAAUGGGCGCAAGCCUGAUCCAGCCAUACCGCGUGAGUGAUGAAGGCCUUAGGGUUGUAAAGCUCUUUCGCUAGGGAAGAUAAUGACGGUACCUAGAGAAGAAGCCCCGGCUAACUUCGUGCCAGCCGCCGCCGUAA